UGGGGAAUUUUGCACAAUGGGGGAAAGCCUGAUGCAGCGACGCCGCGUGAUUUAGAAGGCCUUCGGGUUGUAAAAAUCUUUUCUAUGGGAAGAAAAUGACAGUACCAUAGGAAUAAGGACCGGCUAAUUACGUGCCAGCAGCCGCGGUAAUACGUAAGGUCCGAGCGUUGUCCGGAAUCAUUGGGCGUAAAGGGUACGUAGGCGGGUAAGCAAGUUAGAAGUGAAAUCCUAUAGCUCAACUAUAGUAAGCUUUUAAAACUGCUCAUCUUGAGGUAUGGAAGGGAAAGUGGAAUUCCUAGUGUGGCGGUGAAAUGCGCAGAUAUUAGGAGGAAUACCGGUGGCGAAGGCGACUUUCUGGCCAUAACCUGACGCUGAGGUACGAAAGCGUGGGUAGCAAACAGG
rnacentral:rRNA from 1 species